UACGGGGGGAGCAAGCGUUGUUCGGAUUUACUGGGCGUAAAGGGCGCGUAGGCAGCCAGUGCAAGUCAGUUGUGAAAUCUCCGAGCUUAACUCGGAAAGGUCAACUGAUACUGCUCGGCUAGAGUGCGGAAGGGGCAACUGGAAUUCUCGGUGUAGCGGUGAAAUGCGUAGAUAUCGAGAGGAACACCUGCGGCGAAGGCGGGUUGCUGGGCCGACACUGACGCUGAAGCGCGAAAGCUAGGGGAGCGAACGGG
rnacentral:rRNA from 1 species